CUUAAUUAUUAGGUGGUAGUUACACAGGGGCUAUUGUUUCUGUGUAUUAUUUGUAUUUAGUAAAGGUUUAAAGGCAUAAAAUAGAAGAAAAUUUGGAAAAAUAUUUGGGGUGAAUGAGACAAUUCAGGAACAAAUACAGAAAACUAUAUUAUCAUAUAGCAAAAAGCUAUUUAAAAUAGAGAUAAGCAAACUAUAGCUCACAGGCCAAAUGUGGCCUUCUGAUUAUUUUUUGUAAAUAAAGUUUUAUUGGAACACAACAAUGUCCAUUUGCUUAUAGGUAGAAUUUCUCAACCUCAGAACUACUGACAUUCUGGAUGAGACUUUUUUUGGGGGGUGGGGGCAGUUGUACUAUGCAUUGUAGGACGCUUAGCAGGAUCCCUGGCCUCUGCUCACCAGACGCCAGCAGCACCCACCCUUCAUACUGAAAACCAAAAAUGACUCUGGACAUUGCCAAAUGCCUACUGGGGUGUAGGUAUGAGAAACGAAAUGGCCCCUGUUUGAGAACACCUGGCUUAUGUAUUAAGCGCUUCCACACUACAAAGACAGAGUAGAGACUGUAUGGCUUACAAAGCCUUGCAUGUUUACUAUCUGGCUCUUCACAGAAAAAUAUGUUAACUCUGUUUGCCAUAAACGAUGGCAAAAGAUGCAGGCUAAACUGCAGAGCAUAUGACAAUACAAUCUCCUUAGCAAAGUUUCCACAGAUUGCUUUAAAAACUACUCCAAUGUAAACAAAAGGAAGAGAUAAAAAUAAGCAAUCCACAGAAACAGAACUCGAAUGACCCUUAGACAUGGUAGAUGCUCAAUCUCACUGGCAGUUAAGAAAAUGCAGGCACGUGCUAUCUCGCCUGGCUAGUUUUU
rnacentral:lncRNA from 1 species